rnacentral:rRNA from 1 species
GGAAGCCCAGCACCGAACCUCGCGCCCUCGGGUGUCGCGGAAUGUGGUGUUUAGGANGANCGUGCGCGUCUGUCCGGUAUCGUCCAAGUCUCCAUGAAUGGGGCCAGCAACCCAGAGAGGGUGUCAGGCCCGUAGGACUGAGCCGCGACGGCGUAUUGGGUCUCUCCUUAGAGUCGGGUUGCUUGAGAGUGCAGCCCUAAGUGGGAGGUAAACUCCUUCUAAGGCUAAAUACGGCCACGAGACCGAUAGCGAACAAGUACCGCGAGGGAAAGUUGAAAAGAACUUUGAAGAGAGAGUUCAAUAGUGCGUGAAACCGUUCAGGGGGUUAAACGGGUGGGCCCUCGAAGGUCGAACGCUCCCUACUCGCGUUUCCGCGCGUCAGUCCGUGCCGUUUCCGAUCUCGCUAUGGGACGGAGCGGUGCGGUAACUUGGCGAGCGGGGGCGUUUAGUUAGGGGGCCAGUAGGACUCCGCAACCGUCUGGAGAGUCGUCAGAAGGGCUCUGGUAGAAAGCCUCCUCGCGGGGUGGACUCCGGGGUUCCGGGCGAUCUCUCCGGCCGUGAACCGGCAUUCCACUCGGCUGGCGUCCGUGACGAGCCUUUCCUCGCGGAGGGGUUGUCGGUUGCGGGCGUUCACCGGGGGACGCUAGCGGAGAGUAGAGUCGGGUCCCACCCGACCCGUCUUGAAACACGGACCAAGGAGUCUAACAUGUGCGCGAGUCGUCGG